rnacentral:rRNA from 1 species
GAUGAACGCUAGCUACAGGCUUAACACAUGCAAGUCGAGGGGAAACGAUAGAGAAAGCUUGCUUUUUCUAGGCGUCGACCGGCGCACGGGUGAGUAACGCGUAUCCAACCUGCCCAUCACUUGGGGAUAACCUUGCGAAAGUAAGACUAAUACCCAAUGACGUCUCUAGAAGACAACUGAAAGGGAUUAAAGAUUUAUCGGCGAUGGAUGGGGAUGCGUCUGAUUAGCUUGUUGGCGGGGUAACGGCCCACCAAGGCGACGAUCAGUAGGGGUUCUGAGCGGACGGUCCCCCACAUUGGAACUGAGACACGGUCCAAACUCCUACGGGAGGCAGCAGUGAGGAAUAUUGGUCGAUGGACGUGAGUCUGAACCAGCCAAGUAGCGUGCAGGAUGACGGCCCUAUGGGUUGUAAACUGCUUUUAUAAGGGAAUAAAGUGAGAGUCGUGACUCUUUUUGCAUGUACCUUAUGAAUAAGGACCGGCUAAUUCCGUGCCAGCCGCCGCCGUAA